AGUGAACGCUGGCGGUAGGCCUAACACAUGCAGGUCGAACGGCAGCACAGUAAGAGCUUGCUCUUACGGGUGGCGAGUGGCGGACGGGUGAGGAAUACAUCGGAAUCUACUUUUUCGUGGGGGAUAACGUAGGGAAACUUACGCUAAUACCGCAUACGACCUACGGGUGAAAGCAGGGGAUCUUCGGACCUUGCGCGAUUGAAUGAGCCGAUGUCGGAUUAGCUGGUUGGCGGGGUAAAGGCCCACCAAGGCGACGAUCCGUAGCUGGUCUGAGAGGAUGAUCAGCCACACUGGAACUGAGACACGGUCCAGACUCCUACGGGAGGCAGCAGUGGGGAAUAUUGGACAAUGGGCGCAAGCCUGAUCCAGCCAUACCGCGUGGGUGAAGAAGGCCUUCGGGUUGUAAAGCCCUUUUGUUGGGAAAGAAAAGCAGCAGGUUAAUACCCCGCUGUUCUGACGGUACCCAAAGAAUAAGCACCGGCUAACUUCGUG
rnacentral:rRNA from 1 species